rnacentral:rRNA from 1 species
GAUGAACGCUAGCGGCAGGCCUAACACAUGCAAGUCGAGGGGCAGCACAGAAACAGCAAUGUUUUGGUGGCGACCGGCGGACGGGUGCGUAACGCGUAUGCAACCUACCUUUAACAGGGGGAUAACGGAGAGAAAUUUCCACUAAUACCCCAUAACAUCGAUCAAGGCAUCUUGAUUGGUUGAAAACUCCGGUGGUUAAAGAUGGGCAUGCGUUGUAUUAGGUAGUUGGUGAGGUAAUGGCUCACCAAGCCUACGAUACAUAGGGGGACUGAGAUGUUAGCCCCCAACACUGGUACUGAGACACGGACCAGACUCCUACGGGAGGCAGCAGUGAGGAAUAUUGGUCAAUGGGGGCAACCCUGAACCAGCCAUGCCGCGUGCAGGAAGACGGCUCUAUGAGUUGUAAACUGCUUUUAAACAGGGAUAAAGCACAGUAUGUAUACUGUGUUGAAGGUACUGUAAGAAUAAGGAUCGGCUAACUCCGUGCCAGCCGCCGCAGUAA